CUAAAAUCUAAAUAUCCACCAAUCCUCAGUUCCUCACCACCACUCUUUCUCUCUCACUCUCUCGAAGCCUCCAUUCUCUCAAACCCGAGAUUAAAGCCGCGUUCUCUCGUUCUCUCUCACUCUCAAUCGAAGCCCAGCCUCUCUUUCACUUGCUUUUUGGGCUCUGUAUAACCUCUGUUGAUCUCACGUCCAAGCUUGGCGUGCCUGUGCUGUCCCCUCCAUGAUGAUCUAUAGGCCACCAAACUUGUCCACGCAAUGCAAUUUCAGAACAAAUCUUAUCUUCCAGAAGUGUUUCCGGAUGUUGACUCCCUUGUCAUUUUUGCAUCAACUGUGAUUUCCUUGAUUAAUUGUGAGAGAUUUUUUACAGAGAUUGCUUUUGGGGACACGCAAUUCAGCGAAGUUUUGAACUUUGAGGUUAAUGAAAUAAGAGAGGUAUGCCAUCUAACGAAUUGCUUUCUCAAUUGAGGGUGAUAUCAAGACGGAAGGUUUAGUUAGUAAUUGUAAUGUUAGCAUAUUAGUUAGUAAUUGUAAUGGGAGCCUAAGCUGCUGUCUUCUAUACACAUGUACUUAAUUACAAGAGUUACUUACUAGUUCCAUAUUAAUAUUACAUAUUUAGCUAAAACAAGUGGCAUUGUUUUAAAAAAGUGGAUGUUAUUCCAAAGUAUAAUAUCAAUAUGGGAUGGUUGAAA